CAUCCCAUAAUGAAGGCACAACCAGACAUCCCAUAAUGAAGGCACAACCAGACAUCCCAUAAUGAAGGCACAACCAGACAUCCCAUAAUGAAGACACAACCAGACAUCCCAUAAUGAAGGCACAACCAGACAUCCCAUAAUGAAGGCACAACCAGACAUCCCAUAAUGAAGGUACAACCAGACAUCCCAUAAUGAAGGCACAACCAGACAUCCCAUAAUGAAGGUACAACCAGACAUCCCAUAAUGAAGGCACAACCAGACAUCCCAUAAUGAAGGCACAACCAGACAUCCCAUAAUG